UACGAAGGGGGCUAGCGUUGCUCGGAAUCACUGGGCGUAAAGCGCACGUAGGCGGCUUCUAAGUCAGGGGUGAAAUCCUGGAGCUCAACUCCAGAACUGCCUUUGAUACUGGAGAGCUUGAGUCCGGGAGAGGUGAGUGGAACUCCGAGUGUAGAGGUGAAAUUCGUAGAUAUUACGGAAGAACACCAGUGGCGAAGGCGGCUCACUGGCCCGGUACUGACGCUGAUGUGCGAAAAGCG
rnacentral:rRNA from 1 species